rnacentral:rRNA from 1 species
AUGUUGUUGUCGUCGGGGCCAAAGGCCAGGGCCGCAUCAAGCCCUAAGGCCGAUGAAUCGCACGGGAGGGAGCCGCGCACCGCAUCCAUCGCCAUUGACAGCCAACAAUUAAAUAACCACACUGGCUGCUGGGGAAAAUUCCCCAAUCGAUUGACCCCAUCCCCGCCCGAGACAGGAACAGAUAGAGAGGACACGGCUGACGGCCACCACAGCGGCGUUCACCGGUGGCGAGAGGUGCUCCCGCUGCCCUCGUCCUCGUCCGAGGAAACUCCAGGGAGCAGGGUGCUCGGCGCAAGGUCAUUCGCGAGCCCGAGCGCCGCUGGACUCCAUGUGCCAGCGCGGCCGGAGCGGUUGCUCGAAGGCGGGCUCGUCAGGGGCACGCCGAGGGCCAGAAGACGUCGGCGAGCGUCUAUGCGCGGCGAAGGCGGAGGAGUUGCGGACGUCGGGGAUGGCAAGUCCGGUGGUGCGACGUCGGCGACGACCAUGGUGCUAGUGGAACCUCUCACGCCAGAGCCGAAGGCAGAAGGCGGAGGCUCCGGUCAGCGCGGACACGAAGGCGAGCGUGUCACCGUCAUGAACUUGCACUUGAUGUGUGGCCGGGAUGUGCGCCAUCGUCAGCAGCAUCGGGAGCGGCGCGCCGCCAUCGGCCUCUACAACCGCCGGGGUCGGAUGCUGCAGCGGCGCGUCCCCAACUUCUUCAUCGUCGAUGACGACGGUUCCCUCCUCCUGAGGCGCCGCGACGACCGGAUCGGCCACCACAAAGUCGUGGUGAUACAGGGGCAUACUACCCAGCCAUGCGCCGAGCACCAGAACGGAGGCGGCGCGGAGCCGCCAGCGCCGGGUCGAUGUUCUCAUCGGCCUCGAGCCUUGGUGCAGCCGGACCGGCGGGAGGCCAGGCCGGCACAUCGGGCUGUGGCGGCGCUGGCGCAGGUUGCGGCAUGGUUGGUUCGACGGCCCCGCGCCGUUCCGAUGGUGGCAACGAAGAACGCGGAAGCCGCGAUGCGUUCCUGCACCGUGGCAUUUUCUUUCUCACCUCUGGCUUGUGGAUCUUCUUGUUCCGGCGAUCGCCGGAAUCGAUCGACUCGCUCAACGGCGAGCGUGCUAUAUUAG